rnacentral:lncRNA from 1 species
GUUUAUCUUACCACAGGACAACUAAUUAAACUUAAAAAGAAAUUCUAAGGCACCAAUCUCUUUCACAGAUCAAGGAAAUCCCAUGUGGAGAAAAAUACCCUAAAAUCUAAACUCUUGUGAGGUUUUGAAGCUGGGAUAUUCCACUACUGAACAUUAAAUUAGGUACUUUGGAAGCCUUGAAAUGAUACUUUGCUGAAAAAACAGUUUGACCUACAGGGAGAGAUGAAGCAGCUGAACAGCAAGGCUGUGGCCCUGAGGGAGGCUGGACUGCAGAACGCAACACUGGCAAGAAGAGAGCUUGGCUGCAGACAGGCAGCUGGCGAGCUGCUGCGGCCCGACUGCACAGACUCCCCCACCUCCAGCCCUCUUCACGCAUGUGUGCGGCUCCCAGUCUGAAGCAGUUGAAGCACACAGAGCCCUACACUCUUGUGACUUUCAAUUAACCAGCACACGGCACCCCUGGAGACAGUGGGCGGAAGAGCAGGGGGGAGUGCUGGAUAAGAAGGGGUGGUGGGAGUCUUUUCAGCCGCGGUCAGAAGGUAUUCAAGCCUGCACAGACUGCACUUCAGUGGCUAAGCCGUCGCACAUUGUUAAUUCGCUUCUUGUGCCUUCUCGAGUGAGGAGAAAAAUAAAGGCGUGAUUACAGGGGGCCGGGGCUGCUCGCUGGGCUCUGUCCCGUUCGCGGAGGGAGCCGCUGCCCGCUGUCUGCAUGCUCAAGCUGAGAGGGUGCAUGUCAGCUAAUUGCCGUCUCGGGCCCUGGAUCUUUAAUCUCCUCAGCUCUUAAACUGGACUCCCUCCUCACCUUCUGUUAGUUUUUAAUCCAUUAAAAGUUUUUUUAGGACUGAAAUUUAAAUAAUCCAUACUGUAAAACUCUGCUGUAACCCUUCCCUCUCAUGAAGGCACUAUAGAGUAGGUACUGUCUUCGGAAGCAACAACAAAUGAUUCAGCUGUGGAAGUAUGCAAAAUCUUGUCGUGCUAUGAUAUGACCCAUACUCCCCAGUUUCUCCAGCAGUCCAUACCUCUGCCUCUGCAGUGUAAACAUUAAGACUCCUACAGAAGUGUCCGUGUCACACAUUGUGUCAGUGAUGGCUGAAGUGUAUGAUUAUUUUUGUAGUUGGCGAUGUGUUACAAAUGUGUUACAAAUAUUUCGUGAUACAGUGGCUCAUUGUCAUAAUGUAAGGCACGGUAUUAGUUUCCUUUCCAUUUUGACAGGUUGCUUUGUUUUGGAGGUCAGGCAAUGAAAUUAAACUACACUCUGAAGGUCUUUUUACGGUUAUCUACAGUUCUCUGUUCAGAGUCAGACUUGAAAAGCUACCUCUGUACAACACAAGAACCGGCAGUUUUAUCUUUUAUCUGAACCUCAUCCCAGUUAUUUUUUAUAUCUCUUAUGCUUACAAAUAACCAAAGAGCCACCCUCAUCAGCUACUCCGUUUCAUUUCUUACUUGACUGCAAAAAACAUCCCUUUUCUAACAACCCCCCUAAACAUAAGUGUUUUACCUGAGCCCUAAUAGGACAAAGUGAGGAAGCUGCACUCUUUCUGGGUGACGAUUAUUCUGUCUACUAAUUCACAGCUCAUAUUAGUUAAUAGACAAUACAGAGAAAGGUUUGUUAAAAACCAAAGGUAUGAAGUUCCACAAGCCAAGUCCUAGAUUUUUAAAUUGAUAAUAGUGGCACAGGACCUUUAUAUUACAAACAAUUUUGUAUACAGCUUCAAAAACACACCUCCAGGCACACCUUCUGAACUAUAUAUAUAUGGAGUACUUUCACCAAACAAGCACUGCUGUUGGUUCUGGCAUUUCUAUAUCAAGGGAUGUUAUGUUAAAAUCUUGUUAUGCCCCAGUAAGCUCUUGUUUAGAAUUCUGUGUUUUACAAUUUUGGUCACUUUGAUUCCUGCUCUGUCCAGAGAAGAGCAACCAAAUGCUUUCCAGGAUUUAAAGGAAUGUCCUAAAACACUUUUUGUCUUGAACAGAAAAGAGAGUUAUUAGGGGACCUAAUACAUCCUGUAUAUUCAAAUACUCAAAGGCACUGACAGUCAGCCCAGAAGACUUGAUACAGAAUCAACAGCAUAAAAGAACCAGAGCUCCUAGCAGAAAACAUGUGGAUUUGCAUUUCAAUCUGGGAACUGAUGGUAUUUCUUUACACAAAGGGGCGUGGGAGUAUGGAACAAGGUAUCUGGCCAUGUGGGUGAAGCUGUCUUCUGAAAUCCUUAGAUCAAUACCUUGAUACUUGAACAACACCUUAGAUCAACUACCAAAUGGGACAGAUGGGCCAAAUUGCCUUCUCUUAUUUGGUAACAUUCAGAUAUUCCUGUAUGAAGUAUGAACCUAGUAAGCAGUUAUGAGUUACUAUUUUAUCGUUUUAAAUUCUUCCUCUUUUAACACCUGAAGAGUGCACAUCAUCGCUCACUGUUCAUCCUUCUCUUUCACAACAGCGACGAUGGAAGCUUAUGUUCUAUUUUAACAUCAAAAUGUAACCAAGCCCUGAUGUAUGGUCGUGUUUAGCAUCAGUGGAAUAUCCCUUAAGAAGGAAAAUCCAGUUAUGAGUAGUUAGGCAAAGCUGAACAGUCAAAUAUCAAACAUACCAGUUUCUUUCUAACCAGACUUGGCUGUGGUGUUACUAUGAAAAAAACACCAAAUCAACAAAAAGCCUAUAUACACAGAAAACACUAACCAUAGAAACAAACCGUUCCAUUGUUUGUGUUAGGACCAGGGUAAACAGAUUCUAUGCUCAAUUAAAGCAUAAUAUGAACCAUCGGUUUCUAUGUUGUAAUUAUUAAACUUUUUAUUAUGUGUAUAAAUUGCUAGGGCUUGUCUAAAAACCGGCUUAAUCACUGAUAAACACCCAACUGUCUCGCCUUUUAAAUUGAAAAGAAAUCACCAAACCUAAUUGAAUUUCCACUGUCUGCCAGAACUCGGGCUGGUGCCCUUUGCAUACCAU